AUUGAACGCUGGCGGCAGGCCUAACACAUGCAAGUCGAACGAGUGGCGGACGGGUGAGUAAUGUAUGGGAAACUGCCUGAUGGAGGGGGAUAACUACUGGAAACGGUAGCUAAUACCGCAUACCAUCGGAUGUGCCCAUAUGGGAUUAGCUAGUAGGGGGGGUAAAGGCUCACCUAGGCGACGAUCCGUAGCUGGUCUGAGAGGAUGACCAGCACAACUGGAACGGAGACACGGCCCAGACUCCUACGGGAGGCAGCAGUGGGGAAUAUUGCACAAUGGGCGCAAGCCUGAUGCAGACAUGCCGCGUGUAUGAAGAAGGCCUUCGGGUUGUAAAGUACUUGCAGCGGGGAGGCGUUACCCGCAGAAGAAGCACCGGCUAACUACGUGCCAGCAGCCGCGGUAAUAC
rnacentral:rRNA from 1 species